GACAGGGUGGGGGCAUGGGCUGCUGCCGGAGAGGUCAGGGGAGGCGUGGCCUCCGGAGCGAAAGGCGCGGAGGGGGUGGGGGUAUAGGCUGUUGCUGGAGAGGUCAGGGGAGGCGUGGCCUCCGGAGCGAAAGGCGUGGAGAGGGUGGGGGCAUGGGCUGCUGCCGGAGAGGUCAGGGGAGGCGUGGCCUCCGGAGUGAAAGGUGCGGAGGGGGUGGGGGAGGAGCGAGCGGCUGAAGGUGGCUCUUCUCUCUCCUCUUCUUUUCUUUUCUCUCUCUUUUCUUUUCCUUCUCUUUCUUUUCUUUCCUUCUCUUUCCUUUCUUCUCCUCUCUCUUUUCUUUCCUUCUCUUUCCUUUCUUCUCCUCUCUCUUUUCUUUCCCUUCUCUUUCCUUUCCUCUCUCUUUUCUUUCCUUUCUCUUUCCUUCUUCUCUUCUCUUUCUUUCCCUUCUCUUUCUUUUCUUUCUCCUCUUUCUUUCCCUUCUCUUUCCUUUCUUCUCCUCUCUCUUUUCUUUCCCUUCUCUUUCCUUUCUUUCUCUCUUCUUUUUCUUUCUCUUCUCUUUCCUUUCUUUCCUCUCUCUUUUCUUUCCUUCUCUUUCUUUUCUUCCUCUCUCUUUUCUUUUCCUUCUCUUCUUUUUCUUCUCUUUCCUUUCUUCUCCUCUCUCUUUUCUUUCCUUCUCUUUCCUUUCUUCUCCUCUCUCUUUUCUUUCCUUUCCUCUCUCUUUUCUUUCCUUUCUCUUUCCUUUCUUUCCUCUCUCUUUUCUUUCCCUUCUCUUUCUUUUCUUCUGUAGGGGGGAGUGUUACAGAUGAAGGUGGUCUUGGUAUAGUUUUUAGUUAGGUAGAACCUCUAUACAUAAGGGGUGUGGCUGCUAGACCUUGGUAAGUUUGAUAGAUAGAGGGCCAGUAGGAACAGCUUUUUAUAGUGAGGGAGAUUUGUGGGGGGCUUUUUUUUUUUUACCCGGGACAGGUGGAUCCAAGAUUGGACUUCAGCAAUUUUUAUGGCUGAUGGGGUGGUAAGGAUGACGGUGUAUGGUCCCUCCCAUCUGGGGGUGAGGGGUUUUGGGGAGAGGGAUUUGAUAAAGACUGAGUUACCCGGAGAUAUUUUUUGGGUAGUUUCGGAUGACUGGAUGGGUUGGGGAAGAGAGCCAAGGCGGUGAGAUAAGGAACCCUCCUUGCGAGGGAGGAGGGGCUUUC
rnacentral:lncRNA from 1 species